CUCUCUCUCUUGGUGUUUUUUGUGCUCUGAGCUUUCAAACUACAGUGCAUAAGGACUUUCAAAAACUACUCACUUCUCUCCCCCCCAAACCCUAACUUUCUCUCUCCCCCUCCUUCUCCCCCAAUUCACCUCUCAAUUUACAUUAUACACAUAUUUAUAUAUGCAUAUAUAGAUCGUGGUGGCUACAGAGACAUGGAUGAUGAUGAUAAGGACAGAGUCGAUCCAGCGAUUACCGAGUCGAGCUGGACAUUCGGUGCUGUCUCGGACAGCGUUUACUUCUUCGGCAACGAUAGAGACAACAGUAUACUGAGCGAAUUUGGUUGGAAUCUUCGGCCCGAGUCGGCGUCGGCGGAGGAAAGUGGUGGCGAUGCCGGUAGUUUUGAUCGGAUCGGUGUGGAGGAGGAGGAGAAUGAUAGGCUGUUGAUGGCGGCGGAGAGUACCAUCACCACCACUGCUACGCACUGCACUGGUGGUGAACCGGGGAUCCAAACCCGUCCUGUUCGAGACGCGUCAAAGUCGAAUUCGAGCUCUUCGGAGGAUCCGCCGGAGAAUUCCACUGCCUCCGGCGAGAACAAACCACCGGCUGAGACAUCGAGCAAAGUUAAAAAGAAAGUGCAAAAGAGAAUCCGACAGCCUCGUUUUGCAUUCAUGACAAAGAGCGAAGUUGAUCAUCUUGAAGAUGGCUAUCGAUGGCGGAAAUAUGGCCAGAAAGCAGUUAAAAAUAGUCCAUUUCCUCGGAGCUACUAUCGCUGUACAAACAGCAAAUGCACAGUGAAGAAAAGGGUUGAACGAUCUUCUGAAGAUGCAACUAUUGUGAUCACUACCUAUGAAGGCCAGCAUUGUCACCAUACAGUUGGAUUCCCCAGAGGUGGACUUGUUUUAAGUCAUGAAGCUACCUAUGCAAACCACUUGACUCCUUCAGCCUCACAAUUUUAUUAUCCAAGAGCCCAAUUUCCUCAACAAUGUUCUCAUAGCGUACCACAAACGCACCACGUUCCAGGUGAUGCGAGAGAAUCCCAUUUAUUGGCCGAGCCAAAUCCUCAACUUCCCACUGAUGAAGGACUUCUCGGCGACAUUGUACCUCCUGGAAUGCGCAAUCAGUGACAAGAUGGAUAGGGUUCACUUUGAAGUACCUUUGAUAGAAUAAUGAUCCCUAAUGAUGCUCAAUAGGACUUUGUUUACACACAUACCCAAUUCCCUUUUUGAAUAAAAAAGAAUGAGACUGAACCCAUGUGAUAUGCACAAGAUGGUAUAUGAAGCAAAUGAAGAACAAGGAGCUUAUUCGUGACCACAGGACUGAAGCUAGUUUGGAGCCAGAUAUGAGUUUUUUUUUUUUUUUUACCUGUGGAACCCUUUUCCUACAUAUCAAGUGGCUAACCAGUCUCACGUAAGUACUGAUUAACGAGCCUCAUUCUUGCAUUGAACUAAGAUUUAUCUUUGAUCCCCCCUUCUCAAUCCUGAUAUUACUAUGUCUCUACUGUGUUGUAUAUCAUAUUGGUUAUGAUCAUUAUUAUAUAUAAUGUAAAUUUAUUGACUAUAUUCUCUU